rnacentral:rRNA from 1 species
AACUGGUGCGCGAGAUGAGUAUUCUAAGGCGCUUGAGAGAACUCAGGAGAAGGAACUCGGCAAAUUGACACCGUAACUUCGGAAGAAGGUGUGCCUUUAGUAGGUGAACCUGUACAAGGGGAGCCCAAUGAGGUUGCAAAAAAUCGGUGGCUGCGACUGUUUAAUAAAAACACAGCACUCUGCAAACACGAAAGUGGACGUAUAGGGUGUGACGCCUGCCCGGUGCUGGAAGAUUAAAUGAUGGGGUGCAAGCUCUUGAUUGAAGUCCCAGUAAACGGCGGCCGUAACAAUAACGGUCCUAAGGUAGCGAAAUUCCUUGUCGGGUAAGUUCCGACCUGCACGAAUGGCGUAACGAUGGCCACACUGUCUCCUCCUGAGACUCAGCGAAGUUGAAAUGUUUGUGAUGAUGCAAUCUCCCCGCGGAAAGACGGAAAGACCCCAUGAACCUUUACUGUAGCUUUGUAUUGGACUUUGAACAGAUCUGUGUAGGAUAGGUGGGAGGCUUUGAAGUGUGGUCGCUAGAUCGCAUGGAGCCAACGUUGAAAUACCACCCUGGUGUGUUUGAGGUUCUAACCUAGGCCCGUAAUCCGGGUCGGGGACAGUGCAUGGUAGGCAGUUUGACUGGGGCGGUCUCCUCCCAAAGCGUAACGGAGGAGUUCGAAGGUACGCUAGGUACGGUCGGACAUCGUGCUAAUAGUGCAAUGGCAUAAGCGUGCUUAACUGCGAGACUGACAAGUCGAGCAGAUGCGAAAGCAGGACAUAGUGAUCCGGUGGUUCUGUAUGAAGGGCCAUCGCUCAACGGAUAAAAGGUACUCUGGGGACAACAGGCUGAUACCGCCCAAGAGUUCAUAUCGACGGCGGUGUUUGGCACCUCGAUGUCGGCUCAUCUCAUCCUGGGGCUGUAGCCGGUCCCAAGGGUAUGGCUGUUCGCCAUUUAAAGAGGUACGUGAGCUGGGUUUAAAACGUCGUGAGACAGUUUGGUCCCUAUCUUCCGUGGGCGCUGCAGAUUUGAGGAAGCCUGCUCCUAGUACGAGAGGACCGGAGUGGACACACCUCUGGUGUAUCGGUUGUCACGCCAGUGGCAUUGCCGAGUAGCUAUGUGUGGAAGAGAUAACCGCUGAAAGCAUCUAAGCGGGAAACUCGUUUCAAGAUGAGAUCUGCCGGGGCCUUGAGCCCCCUAAAGAGUCGUUCAAGACCAGGACGUUGAUAGGUCGGGUGUGGAAGCGCAGUAAUGCGUUAAGCUAACCGAUACUAAUUGCUCGUGCGGCUUGACCA